GGCACAACAGCAUCUGCAGCCCGACUCCUUUUUUCCUAGCAGGUAAGUUGUGCUCUCCUAUCAGGAGUUGCCUGAGGUUUGUACUGCGAAACAGAGCAGAACAUUGGUUUCACCUUCAGAGGUUCUGUUUUGCACAGGGUUGGAUGUGCAUCCUUUGAGGUUUACGUAACUGUUAACUCGUGCUUGCGCUGAGAUCUCUCACCCUUGUUGCUUCUGCUGUGGUUUUUUUUUUUUACCCCAGUUCUGUGUCUUUACUGCAGUGUGGGGCAGCUCUGCUCCAGGCACUGACCCAUCUGCUGUGGAAAUACCCAAACCUGCAUUUACACGUAGCAUUGUCCAUCCCUUUAAUAAACCCCUAUCAUAUUUGCUUUAUUAAAUGUUGCUAAACGCAGUGGAGAAACAACCCACUCUUCCAGGGGUUCUUUAUUGAGCCCUAAACCCUUGUUCUCAUCUGGAAAAUCCUUUUCCCCCAAUUCUGCUCUCACGAAUGUAAAUUAACAGUCUUCUUUAAGUCCAUUUCACUGAUAUCUCCAUACGCCCCCUCCCUUAUUGCUGCAAUCCCCCACCAUCCAGUGCUGUAACUUGCUCUGUGAUCAUGGUGGUUUGUCCUCCCGGUGCUGAUGGAGAGGAGGAUGGCUCUGUUGGUGGAUGGGCCAAGCCUCAAAUUAUCUGCUGCAUCUAUAUUGCUUUCCAAGUCCUGCAGGACUUCUUCCUCCAAACUUGGUUGGGUUUCAGAGUGAGAGAUUGCUUUCAGCUGGGAAAUAUUUGGGUCUCACCACUUUGUUACAACGGAGACAGGGAUGAGGUGCUCCUCAGGGCAGCAGUGCUGCUUGUCUGCCAGGUGUGGGUUUGCAGAAACACAUUGGAGUGACGUGCAUGGAAUCAUACAAUCACUCAGGUUGGAAAAGACCUUCAAGAUCAUCAAGUCCAGCUGCAACCCAACCAUGCUGUGGUGGCGUGCUGUCUAGCAAAAAAAAGAAAAAGGAAAGGAAAAUAAAGCCCUCACCUCCUCAGGGUGUUCUCCUGUAAGGGUAAACGUGCUGCUUUCAGGAUUUCAUUGCGCUGUGGGUACGUUGCCCGCCCUGUAGGGCUGCCAGGAGCUGCGGGGUGGGCAGUGCGCGCCCCGUGCCUGCAGCUUCCCCGGGGGCGGCGGGCACAGCUGCGCUGACAGCGGCUGGAGGAGCCUCGGCAGCCACAGAGCAUCCAUCCAGCGCGGCUCCGGCUGCCCUCCAUGCCGCCGGGUGCCCCCCCCCGGCUGGGGACGGCCGCGGGCCCCCCGAGGAGCUGCGCCCUGGUGCUGGUGCUGCUGGCGGUGCUGGGAGCCCGGCCCGAGGCGGCGAGGAGCGUCCCCAGACAACGGCGAUACGAGCAUAGCCCGGGUCCCAGCAGCUCGUGGUGGGAUGUGGAGCAUGAAGAACUGCUGCACAGCCAAAGCACCCUGCCCGGGGCUGUGGGCCCACGCAGACCCAGCCCCUUCCUCCAUCCCAAUGCCAGCAGAAGUCCCCUAAGUCAGAACCUGGGCCAGAAGUCGCCAGAGAAGCAGCUGUCCUGUGACGUGCUCCUCAAACUUGCCAGAUAUAUUUCAGCGGAUACCUUUGGACCUGGCUUGGCCUGGAACCUCUUUCGGUUGUACAACUGUGACCGAGACGCCAAGCUACCCAAAAUGUACUUCAGUCCCCUCAAGAUGGCACGGCACAAGCUGAGGCCUUUCUUGCUGCAUAGGAUGCUGCGGCUGCUGGGGAACGUGGGUGUGCUCACCGAGGGCCAGCAGCACAAGGUCUUCACUCUGCUCAAGGAGCACAUGCUGAAAGCAAGGAAGAUACCACCAAAGCCCAAAGCGGAGCACAGUGGUAGGUACUCCUAGAGGUGUGUUUUGAUUCUGUGUUGCACCAAUGAGUGAGGUGAGGCUGCUCUGGUUUGCAGGCCCCAGUGCUUGGCCGAGCCACGGCCCAGGUUAAUAGAUUGCCCAGAGAGGCGGUGGGUGCCCCAUCCCUGCAGACACUGCAGGUCAGGCUGGACAGGGCUCUGAGCACCUGAUCAGCUGUAGGCGUCCCUGUUCAAUGCAGGGCAGUUGGACCAGAUGGCCUUUAAGUGUCCCUUCCAAUUCAAAUGCUUUUUCUUCUAUGGCUGGGAGUGAAGGUGCUCCAGCAGUGAGGUAUUAGGAGGGCAAUGUGCCACGGGUCAGUUGUGAGCUGUGUUCGUGCUGUCAGCGAGUGCUAAAAGCCAUGCUGUGCUGACAUCCCCAGUGUGGCUGCCAGGCCCACAGCAGCCUGAGUGCAUCCCUGAUGCACACACUGGGAGUGUGCAGCUCCCGGGACGCAGCUGGGCUAGCACCUCCUGCUCCCACGUUGAGGUGAAGGAGUAAAAGGAUCUGAGGGUGCUGGUUUACAGCCUGCUAAACACCAGCCAGCAGUGAGCCCAGGUGGCCAAGAAGGCCAAUGGUAUCCUGGCUUGUAUCAGAAGUAGUGCAGCCAGCAGGAGCAGGGAGCGGUGCCUGGAGCACGUCUUGUGUCUUGUGGGCAGCGGUUGAGGGAACUGGGAUGGCUCAGUCUGGAGAAGAGGAGGUGCAGGGGAGACCUUAUCGCUCCCUGGAAGGAGGUUGUGGUGAGGCAAAGGUCCGCCUCUGCUCCCAGUAACAGCGAUGGGAUGAGAGGGAGUGGCCUCGACUUGCACCGGGGGAGGUUCAGGUUGGAUAUUAGGAAUAAUUUCUCCUCCAAAAGAGCGGUGAUGCAUUGGCACAGCUGCACAGGGGGGCGGUGGGGUCACCGUCCAUGGAGGUGCUGAAGAACCGCGGGGAUGUGGCACUGAGGGCCGUGGGCAGUGGGCACGGUGGGGUGGGCUGAGGUUGGAUCUCAGAGCUCUUUUCCAGCCUUAAUGAUUCCAUGAAGUGCCCUGCUGGGAAGUGGGGGCCGUCCGUGGAAAUGCGUUUGGAAGACACAAAACCGAGGCAGGAAAAAAAAAAAUAAUGCAAAGAAACACAAAGGAUGGCAGAUGUGCAACGAGGAAAAGAGGCGCGGGGAAAAACACAUAUUGAAGUAAACGGUGCUGAUUUAAUGAGGGGGACUGCAGGAGAUGCCCUGAGUCACGGGGCUGAGCGGCGCCGCCGGGCCGGAGGACGGCGCGGCAGUGAGGGCUGUGCAAUGGCGCCCCCUACCGGCCGGCGGCGGAG
ensembl:lncRNA